GAAAGGGUAAAAGAGCGGCGAGCGCGCCCUUUGCAGGGAGAAGGCGCUCAGGGGGCGCCCGGGAAAGGCGUGUAGAGAGAGGGCGCGCUGGAAAGAAGGGCCGAGGGGGUGCGGGGGAGAGCCACCGAGAGGGGCUGGCGCAGGAAGAAGAGAGGAGGCACCGUGGACCCGGGGAGGGCGUGCCGAAGCGCCGGAGCGGAGGUCAGGGAGAGGGCGUCGGGAAUCUCUUGGAGACCCCAGGGAGUGGCCGAGGCGGUGCCCUGGGCGCAGACAAGAGGAAGGACUCUCCGCUGCCGGACAGAGCGGGCGCACGGGCGCGGCCAGAAGGGGCCGCAGAGCCGGAGCGCUCGGGGAACUGGGGGGUGCUGUCGCCUGCGCGGGGGGCGCGCUUGGAGACGCUAGGAAAGCAGGUUGAGAAGAACCGGACAAGUGCCCGGGAAUGGAGGAGGAGGCAGGGACAGAAGCCGCAAAGUCCAGAAGAACGUGCCCGGGUUAGGGGGAGAGCGCACCAGGGGCUCUGGGGGCGGCUUCUUCUGGGCUCUGAGCGCCACCAGGAGCGCCGAGGAGGCGCCGAGGGCGAGUGCCGAGGGCCUGGGAAAGGCCCCUGAGAAGAGAAUCAAGUUGAUCUGGCCGCUGUAGACAAUCCAGGUGGAUAACUGGGGUGGGGAGAAGAGAGACUGAUCCAUUUUGGGAACCGGAAUGAAGACAACAAUUGCAUUAAUAUCCAAGCACCUCAUGAAAGGCGGUAUGGACCAGAACUGAGGCUUGGAACCGAGACAGAGCUGGGAAGUUGUCACAUCUGAGUUGAGUGACUUCAGGAAAGUCUCUUCACCUUGCCUGAGCACCAAGUCUUCUCUGAAAAACUUAUUAUUAGAGUCCUUGCCUCAUUGGGUCAUAGUGAAGACUGUAAGAUCUUAUGCCAAGCCAGGUGGAUCUAAAUGCUCAGGACAGGUUAGCUAUUAUAAGGAUACUAUUUCCCCAACAUACAGUCAUUAUACUGUAUAUCAGACCCAGUGUAUUGUUGCAAAUAUUUCACCAAAACUAGAGAUACUCUGAGCUGAUUGGGCCGCAAAAAAAUGAAAGCCAUUUUAUUACAUAUAGUCUCUAAAACAGUUGCUCACAUUAUGAUACUUGAAAGUAUGAAUCAUCUUCUUGGCUUUCUCAGAACAGGAACUGCUGUAUCUGGAUGCUCUCACUUAUCUGAUGGGUUCACACCAAUUUGGUUAUUUGCCCCAUCAAUGGAUCACAACUCCCUAAAAGAGAGGGUCAUCUUGCUCAUCUCUGUGAGAGCAACCGGCACAGUGCCUGGUACAAGGUAUGUGCUUAGCAUAGCUUGCAGGGUAAACACAUAGAGAUCAAAUAGUACCUUCUCUGCCUGCUUUUUCCCUCAUUUUGUUGGUUAAUCAAGUGGAACUAAACCAAAGAAUUCGAUUCAUCGACUGAAUUCUCAACCAAGCCUUUGCAUUGGCUGUUCCCUCUGCCUGGAAUGCUGUUCCCCCAGACUGUCACAUGACUGUGCCUUAUUUCUCAGCUGUCAACUUAAAUGUCACUUCCUCAGAGAGAGGUCUUUUCUUUAGAUUUAUCUAAUGUAAGUGCCCAUAAUUAUUCUUAUUUUACCAGCUUCUUUUGGUGGCAUGUACCCCUAUUACAAUUGUUUACUUGUACUCUAGCUGAACUUUCUCUAAGUUCAUAAGCUCUGUAAACUGUUCAGAACUCUAUCUCCAGCACUUAGAUUUGUCCUGGCGCAUAUAAGGAAUGCAAGAAAUAUUUCGUGAAUGAGUGGAUCAUUUUAUACACGUGAAUUACCUGUGAGUAUUGAACAAGUGAUUUCCCAGAUCUUGCCCAAGACCUGCUUAAAUUAGAGUUUCCAGGGUGGAGCCCCCAAAAUCUGUAUUUUUAAUGCCUGAGACGUCUGUAUUUUUUGAACACUCCCGUAAUUUUUAUGCAACUGAACAUUUUUUCAAAUCCCAAUUACUGUCUCCAGUUCUUCAGAUAUGGUCCUGGAUCUUUAGUUUGGAGAUCCCCUCAGAUGCCUCAAACUCGUAGGUCAAAGGUGAAACUGUCUUCUCCAAGAACCUGCUUCUCAAGUCUUGGUCCUUGACUAAUGGGUCCUGUCCACUUCGCCAAUCUUCUCUCUUGCCAGUCCUCUCACUAUGUAGGCCUUUUUCCUCCUCCCUUUCUCAAAACACCUAACUUUUUCCCACCUCAAGCUCUCCCACCUGCUGUUCCUUCUUCCUGGAACGCUUCCCCUUUUCUGUGCACUUGCUGGCCCCUUCUCAUCUUUUAGGAUCCAUCACCUCAUGUAUUACCUCCUGAGAGAGUCCUUCCCUGGCCAUCAUGUUUAAGUGUCUUCAGUGCCCAGAACAGUUCCUGGCCCUUAGUAGGGGCUCAUAGAUACUCACUGAAUCAAUAAACUGUGCGUUUAGUCAUCCAAGGUAGGAACUUGGGGGCAUUAUUCCUUUUUGCAGCCUCUACACGAACAGUCCAUCAAACCCUGUUGAUUCCAUCUCAAACAUGUCUGCACUCUAUCUCCUUUAUCCCAUCUCCACAGUCCAGGUUCCAAUUGCAGCUCUUAUCAACAAUCUAAAGGCUCAGUGGGUGCUGUCUGAGCCAUAUUUGUGAUCUGAGGCUGGUGAAUUUAGCUGGUGUGACUAAGCCCAAGGUUUGGAUACCAAGUGGAAUUUUGCUCUUUCAAAUGUACUGCACUUUCCACUCCAACCCACUGUGUCAUCCAGGGAAAUACAAAAGGGGGGGUUGUUGACUCAGCAUGCCCCAUCUCCUCUACCAGGAAAACAACUUUUCAACACUGGUCCAACACUCUGGAAGCACUAAACAUUUAUCGAGUACCUACCGUGUGCACCUGGUACAUUCAUUAGCUGUAUCACCUCAUUUAAUUUCUAGAGCAACAUUUAUGAGGAAAGUUCCUUGGCCUCACGGGAUGAAAUAGAGACAUUCAAAGCAGGUCAUCCCAGCUGACGGAACUGGAGGUGGGGGAGAGGUCUCCUGAAGCAGAAUCAUUUCCAGUGAACUUGGAUUGCAAAUCACUUAGGGUCUAAAAGGCUGAAAGAUGAUGUGUGGAAUUGCAGCCUGGAGUUAUGGGUGGUGAAGGUACUGGGGGUGUUUGGUGAGCUGGCUUGGUCUGGAGGGGUGUUGCGAUGGAGUAGACAAGCAUCGUACUUAUGGGUAGGUUAAAGACGACAGCUGAGUUUCUAUGUUUGGUGCCUAUCAUUGGGUGUACCUGUGUACUGAGUUAAGGAGACCAGGUGUUCUGGUCUUGUCAACCUGUGUCAUACUCUAUUAGUUAAGUCUUCUUACUCAUUCAGAAAUACUUCCUUGAUAAACUUUCACUUAGCAGGCACUAUUUUGGAUGCCUGGGAUAUAAUGGCAAACAAAAGAGCCAUGAUCUUUAUUCUUAGGGACAAACAGAUAAGAUUCUUAUAACUUGCGAUGAAGGAAAUAAGACAGACAAUGUGACAGGGACUUGAGAAGUGGGUACUUUAGAUGGGCCAGAGAAGGGAUGCUAGAUAUGUUCUGUUGAACCCUAGAGCUGUUCUCCACCGUUCUCCAUCCUGUCCUCUGACCCUACUGACUAUCUUGAAUGUUCUGCAUUCUACAAUGAUUCACUGCCUGUUUUUGUAAAUAAAGUUUUAUUGGA